GAUUCAGCGGCGGACGGGUGAGUAAUGCCUAGGAAUCUGCCUGGUAGUGGGGGACAACGUUUGGAAAGGAACGCUAAUACCGCAUACGUCCUACGGGAGAAAGCAGGGGACCUUCGGGCCUUGGGCCUAUCAGAUGAGCCUGGGUCGGAUUGGCUAGUUGGUGAGGUAAUGGCUCACCAACGCGACGAUCCGUAUCCGGUCUGAGAGGAUGAUCAGUCACACUGGAACUGAGACACGGACCAGACUCCUACGGGAGGCAGCAGUGGGGAAUAUUGGACAAGGGGCGAAAGCCUGAUCCAGCCGUGCCGCGGGUGUGAGGAAGGUCUUCGGAUUGUAAAGCACUUUAAGUUGGGAGGAAGGGGUAAGGGCGAAUACCUUGCUGUUUUGACGUUACCGACAGAAUAAGCACCGGCUAACUCUGUGCCAGCACCCGCGGUAAUACAGAGGGUGCAAGCGUUAAUCGGAAUUACUGGGCGUAAAGCGCGCGUAGGUGGUUCGUUAAGUUGGAUGUGAAAUCCCCGGGCUCAACCUGGGAACUGCAUUCAAAACUGACUGACUAGAGUAUGGUAGAGGGUGGUGGAAUUUCCUGUGUAGCGGUGAAAUGCGUAGAUAUAGGAAGGAACACCAGUGGCGAAGGCGA
rnacentral:rRNA from 1 species